rnacentral:rRNA from 1 species
GAUAUUGGACUGAGAAACCGGCCUGAACUCUACGUAGUCAGCCGUAGGACUUCCAUUGACGAAAGUCUGAUGAGCACGCCGCGUGGAUCGAUGAAGUCUUCGAAUUGUGAAGUAUCGCUAGUCAUGAGAACGAGCAAAGAUCCGCUUGCAACACGGGCGGCUACCCUUGACAGCUACUUCACGAGAAAAAGACACGGCUAUACUACGUGCCAGCAGCCGGCAGGUAAUAACGCAUGGUGGGCGAAGCGUUGUCCCGGAAUUAUAGGGAGUAAAAGCGCGCGCACGGCGUCUAUGUAAGUCUGGUGUUAAAGCCCGGGGCUCAACCCCGGUUCGCAUCUGAAACUGUGUAGCUUGAGUGCAGAAGAGGAGAGCGGUAUUCCACGUGUAGCGGUGAAAUGCGUAGAGAUGUGGAGGAAACACCAGUGGCGAAGGCGGCUUUCUGGUCUGUAACUGACGCUGAGGCGCGAAAGCGUGGGGAGCACACACGAUUAGAUACCCUGGUAGUCCACGCCGUAAACGAUGAGUGCUAGGUGUUGGGGGUUUCAAUACCCUCAGUGCCGCAGCUAACGCAAUAAGCACUCCGCCUGGGGAGUACGCUCGCAAGAGUGAAACUCAAAGGAAUUGACGGGGGCCCGCACAAGCGGUGGAGCAUGUGGUUUAAUUUGAAGCAACGCGAAGAACCUUACCAGGUCUUGACAUCCCGCUGACCGUCCUAGAGAUAGGGGUUCCCUUCGGGGCAGCGGUGACAGGUGGUGCAUGGUUGUCGUCAGCUCGUGUCGUGAGAUGUUGGGUUAAGUCCCGCAACGAGCGCAACCCUUAUCUUUAGUUGCCAGCAUUCAGUUGGGCACUCUAGAGAGACUGCCGUCGACAAGACGGAGGAAGGCGGGGAUGAGGUCAAAUCAUCAUGCCCCUUAUGACCUGGGCUACACACGUGCUACAAUGGCUGGUACAACGGGAAGAUAGCUCGCGAGAGUAUGCCAAUCUCUUAAAACCAGUCUCAGUUCGGAUUGCAGGGUGCAACUCGCCCGCACGAAGUCGGAAUCGCUAGUAAUCGCGGAUCAGCAUGCCGCGGGGAAUACGUUCCCGGGCCUUGUACACACCCCCCGUCACACCACGGGAGUUUGCAACACCCCGAAGUCGCUGAGGUGACCGCACAGGAGCCAG